ACACGGUUGUGCUUCCUCUCACAGGUCCUGGCAGUCUGUAACUUUUGAAAGACAGCCCGCCUCCUUCAUCCGAAUCGUGGGAACGCACAACACAGCAAAUGAGGUGUUCCACUGUGUCCACUUUGAGUGUCCGGAGCAGCAGAGCAGCCAGAAGGAGGAGAGCAGCGAGGAGUCGGGGCCAGGGGAGCCCAGCCUGGCCGGUCCGCAGCUCGACCCCCACGCCCUGCAGGCCCCCAGCGGCAGCUCCCUGCCUUCCAGCCCCCGCUCCGCCUCGCGCUCCCCCAACCGGCAGCACCAGUAAAGGGGGCGCCGACGUGGAGGCACACGGGUGGGCCCCGAGGGCAGGGGCCAGGACUGGCGUCCUCCCAGGAGGGAUCUCUGUUGACCGCCCGUCUCCCUUCCUGGGAGGAGCAGAUGGGGCUGCAAAAACGGACACAGAACAGGCUUUCUCCCAAGGACGGAAAGGGGCUGCUUUGUUCUCCUCAAUUUGUUCAAAUCAGGCUGGUCUCCAGGGGGAGAAAAUGGGUCUUCAAUCUUCAUCAAGUCCACCAUUAACACCCUACCUCUCUCAUCUCACCUGGGCCAAGGGGACAGAAGGCGGCGUAGCCGGGCCGUGUCGGAAUACCGAAAGGGGCCCGAGCUCCAGGGCAGGACAACACGUGAGGCCUCUAUUACCUGCAGGUGCCCCUUAGGAAGUGGGUUUCCGUAGAGUGGUUACUUUUAUGGAACACACGGCCCUGGCAACUAAGUGAUUUUUCUUUCUUUUAGUUAUUGUCCAUUUGCUGAAUCAUAGGUGUUCCAGAUCUUGAAAUGUUCAAACAGCAAAUCACUUGUUUAAUCCCUUUUGACCCUGUAAUUUUCCUUCCCUAGUUUUGAACGGCUAAGCCUGGGGCGGAGCGGGCGGUGCUGUGCUCGGCUCCUAAAUGAGGCACCGAGGCGGCGUCAGGGCACCCGGUCUGACGAGGAAAAUCCUCCGAGGAAGUUCAACCAAAUACAGAAUGAGCAAAUCAGUCCGAGGACACUGGAGUUAAUAACCGCUCGAAUUCCUGAGUUAUUAACCUGUCAUUCCUGAAGCGUCUGCAGCCUUUGAGCUCGGGAGGCUGACGAGGAAACAGUGGCUUUGCCACCUGCUGACUUCCUGCUCCGAAGUCUGUCGGUGUAUCUGUAAGUCUGCGCUGCUUCCGGUUGGGCCGAGCACGGCCCUGAAUCACCACCGGUUAGCUGGCCGUGGGGACGGCGGCACUUCCGGCGGCCCGUGUCAGGAACACGAAACUGGGGCUCUGCAGCGAGGGCUUGCUGUGUUUCGCCCCCAGACCCAACUGCCCGGCCGGGGUUUGGAAGGCGCCGCAGCUGUGAGAAGCUUUUCUCAUCCUCGUCCAGCCGAUGCCCCGUGGCUGCCGUGGCCACCGUGGCUGCCGUGGCCGGGUGCGGCUCUGCUGUGCCCGGCGCGCACUGCGCUGGGGUCCGCCCAGCUCGGGGGACCCCGGCCCCGCUGAGCGCCGGCCCUCCGGCCCCGG
rnacentral:lncRNA from 1 species